GAAAAUCAGCACAAAAUCCACUGUCAAAGCUUGAGAAACAGCAGCAGAGGAAAGAAAAGACCAGAGCCAAGGGGCCUUCUGAAUCAAGCAAAGAACGAAAUGCUCCCCGAAAAGAAGACCGCAGUGCCAGCAGUGGGGCGGAGGGCGAUGUGUCUUCUGAGCGGGAGCCAUAGAUGAAGAAGCAGGAGCUCAGUGCUUUACCAUUGGGCAGAACUGGAUCCUGAAAAAUUCAAGAUGCUAAGCCCCUGCAGUGCUCUAAGAAUUCGGGCCUGAAACAUGAAAACAAAAACAGCAAAACAAGACAUCAGGAAUCUGAAUACCCCUGCAGGGGGAAAAAAAACCCACGAAAGGACUGUUCCAUUUUUCUGUAAUGCUGUGGUCUGAUGGGCAUUGGGUACUAUCGGGUGGGUGAAUUGCUCAUGAUGGAGGGUGCAUACCCAUGCCUUCCCCACAGAGAGAAGUCUAUUGACUUUCCUGGGUCUCACCGUCUCUUGGUUUGCUUUUGGAACAGACUGGCCCAGCAUCAUGUCCUCAAGUCCACUGUGGUGUAUUCUGUGUGUUCAUGACCAGUCUUCAGCAUGUUCCUGUUGUCCAUCACAAGACAGGGCUGGUUUUAGAGUGUAAAGAGAGUAACCGACAGUAAUGUAUUGUAUGAGACUUUGCAUCUUGUAAAUUUUUCUCUUUUUUCUAAAAAUAAAUAAUAAUAAAAUCCUAA